rnacentral:rRNA from 1 species
CUGUACAAAGGUAGCAUAAUCAUUUGUCUCUUAAUUGGAGUCUGGAAUGAAUGGUUGGAUGAGGAAUUUACUUUCUUUAUUUUAAAUAUAAAAUUUAAUUUUUGAAUCAAAAAGUUUAAAUGUUAGUGAAGGACGAGAAGACCCUAUAGAGCUUUACUUUUCGCUGCUCAUAGAUUUUUGGUAAAUUAUUGUUUUAGAGCUUGUAAGAAGUUUUGCUGGGGUGGCAGAAAAAAUCUUAAACUUUUUUUGUUUUUUUCAUUUAUUUAUGAUAGUUUGAUCUUCUUUUAGGAAAAAAAGACUAAGCUACCUUAGGGAUAACAGCGUUAUUAUCUUGGAUAGUUCAUAUUGAUGAGAUAGUUUGCGACCUCGAUGUUGGAUUAAAAUAAGCCUUAGAGGUAUAAGCAUUAAUGCUAGGUCUGUUCGACCUUUAAAUUUUAACAU